GCGCCAUUAGUUUAAUGGAAAGAAUGCAGAGCUACGAACUCUGCGGUCGAGGUUCGAUUCCUUGAUGGUGCA
rnacentral:tRNA from 1 species